CAGCUGCGCGGUGAGCACAAAGCGAACUAUUCUUUCGCCUUUUACUAAAGAAUACCGUGUGCGCGCCGCACAUAUCAGCAUACGCUUAUUUUUGGAGGGUGCCCUAUCCAAGGGCCCC
rfam:Oryza nivara chromosome 8, whole genome shotgun sequence.